UAUAUUUGCCGCUCGAAAGAAAAUCUUUCAGCGUACAUAAAAAUCAUUUACAAUAAUAUUAGCAUG
rnacentral:ncRNA from 1 species